rnacentral:rRNA from 1 species
GCUCCAAUAGCGUAUAUUAAAGUUGUUGCAGUUAAAAAGCUCGUAGUUGACAAUCGGCGCUCGUCUCGGCGGUCCUGUUCACGCAGGUACUGCCUUGACGGCGCUUACACAUAGGCUCAUGAUUGUCGGCAUCUGGCAACGGGUGUCGGCGGUCAUAGCCCCGGUUGCCUUCAAUGGGUGACCGUGGGUGGCUUAUGCGU